rnacentral:rRNA from 1 species
UUGGAGGGCAAGUCUGGUGCCAGCAGCCGCGGUAAUUCCAGCCCCAAUAGCGUAUAUUAAAGUUGUUGCAGUUAAAAAGCUCGUAGUUGAAUUUCGGGGUUCAUACGUUGGUCGGGCUAUUUGGUCUGUACUUAUGUAAUGGAUUCCUACCUUCUGAAUAACCGGCAUGCCAUUAAUUUGGUGCGCCGGGGAAGCAGGACUGUUACCUUGAAAAAAUUAGAGUGCUUAAAGCAGGCUAUCGCCUGAAUACAUUAGCAUGGAAUAAUGAAAUAGGACGGCAUGGUUCUAUUUUGUUGGUUUCUAGGAUCACCGUAAUGAUUAAUAGGGAUAGUUGGGGGCAUUAGUAUUCAAUUGUCAGAGGUGAAAUUCUUGGAUUUAUUGAAGACUAACUUCUGCGAAAGCAUUUGCCAAGGAUGUUUUCAUUAAUCAAGAACGAAAGUUAGGGGAUCGAAGACGAUCAGAUACCGUCGUAGUCCUAACCAUAAACUAUGCCGACUAGGGAUCGGACGAUGUUAAUUUUUUAAUGACUCGUUCGGCGCCUUACGGGAAAC